rnacentral:rRNA from 1 species
UGAGGAAUAUUGGUCAAUGGGCGCAAGCCUGAACCAGCCAUGCCGCGUGCAGGAAGACGGUCCUAUGGAUUGUAAACUGCUUUUAUUCGGGAAUAAACCUCCUUACGUGUAGGGAGCUGAAGGUACCGAAUGAAUAAGCACCGGCUAACUCCGUGCCAGCAGCCGCGGUAAUACGGAGGGUGCAAGCGUUAUCCGGAAUCAUUGGGUUUAAAGGGUCCGCAGGCGGUCUAAUAAGUCAGUGGUGAAAGCCUACAGCUCAACUGUAGAACUGCCAUUGAUACUGUUAGACUUGAAUUCGGUCGAAGUGGGCGGAAUGUGACAUGUAGCGGUGAAAUGCUUAGAUAUGUCACAGAACACCGAUAGCGAAGGCAGCUCACUAGGCCUGGAUUGACGCUCAGGG